AAGACCCUCAAGCUCCCCGGAGCUUGGCGUUGGGCGUGGCCCCAUCACCGGGGCCCUCCCCAAAACCAGUGGCGGCCGCGGCCCGGACCCGAGCGCAGUAGACUUCUCUCGCUCCGGGGCCCGGGCGGCGUGCCCGCCAGCAAGACAUCAGCCAUACCUAA
rnacentral:misc_RNA from 1 species